CAGAAACACAAAUGAGAUUCUUAUUACUUACCAAAUGAAAUGAUACAAGCUUGAAGCAGACACCGAAUACAAAGAAACUACACGAUAAAGAGGUACAACUAAAGAAAUAAUCUGUAAUUGCUAUUCAAAAUAGAUACUUACGAACAAGCUUACCUAAAACAACAGUAUGGUAUAGAUUUACGCAAAAACUGCAAGAGUAAAGCUUCAAACGCCAGUCAGAAAUUAGCUGGACGAAGUGCAUGAAUUGAUCCCAUCCUUGCAGUCUCUGGUGAGAUCAUUAAAUGUCUCAACCUGCUUUUUACCCCUAAAGAAAACUUCUGUAUCAACUGAAGCCCUCAUGUACCCAUCAAAUUCAACUGGAUUCCCAUUAUUAAGUUUUGUUGUCUCUGCAUACCACUCACUUUUUUCAUCCCAAAGAUCCAUAUAUUCAUGAAGGAAAUGGGUGGAGUACUUGUCUUUUAAAGGGUCAAAAAAGGAUGUAUCUGGCUCAUUGGUUGCUAUAUACAGGUUCCUACCGUCGUCGAUCUUGUCCUGCAAGCUAGAUAGUAGAGCCUCGGGAGAAGUAUCUUCUGCCAAAUGUGGCCACAUUUCACGAUUCCUUGCCUUCUCACCCCUUACAACAUGAACUGAGUCAUAAUCCCAAUUUAACCUCGACGAAAUAGCUGAGACGAUGUCCAUCAAUCGUCUUGAUUUCCAUACCAGAUGCCAUGGUCGUUGAACGACUGAUUCCGUUUCACCCUCACAUACCCUGUACCAGUAAUUAUCUGGCUCCACAGAACCAAAUUUCCUCAUGAUUAAAGUAUCCUGCACUCCGGAUAACUUCAUCGGUGUAAUCCUAAAAUCCUCCACAAGAUGAAGACUUAAUCUGUCUUUUUUAUGCCACUGGUCCCAAUCUGACCAAAACUGGAUCUGAUCGAGGACUGACGCUGAAUCCUUUAAGUGCUCAAAAUCGAAGUAAAACCUGAAAUCCUUUCCUUCCUCAUCUACACCAGAUGAAGUGUAAAUCUUGGAUAAACAAAUACUUAAGUCCAUUAUCAAGGUCCUGUUCAGAUAUUGAGCCUCGCCCAAUGCACACAUGAAACUCCAAAGGUAAUGGCUCAUGCUCUUGCACCUAUCCCCACCUCCAGAAUAAAUCAAAUACUUACCAUUGCCAAAUGAACUCUCCGAUUCCACCACAGGAAGUGAGUCAUUUACAGCUUCCCCAACCACAGGCAGAGCAAUAGGUUCACCCUCUGUCUUAGGAGUUACCUUCUCGAAUCCCUCAUCUAGCUUACCAAGAGUUCUGUCAGACCCUGCCCUGUUCUUUCUCUUCCUCUUGCGGGCAUUUCCACCAGAAUGAUAAUCACCUAUACUGACCACAUCAAGGGUGCAGUUCUCCGACCUAGAAACCACAAAAGACCGAUAAUCUUUAUAAAAGGCAGCAGUCUUCCCUUCCUUAGGCCUAAAUC
rnacentral:misc_RNA from 1 species